rnacentral:rRNA from 1 species
AGCGGCGAAUGGGUGAGUAACACGUACUUAACAUGCCCUCUAGAUUGGAAUAACGAUUAGAAAUGAUCGCUAAUGCCGGAUACUUAUUUCCUUCGCAUGAAGGAUAUAUAAAAGGAGCGUUUGCUUCGCUAGAGGAUUGGGGUGCGUAACAUUAGCUAGUUGGUAGGGUAAUGGCCUACCAAGGCUAUGAUGUUUAGCGGGGUUGAGAGACUGAUCCGCCACACUGGGACUGAGAUACGGCCCAGACUCCUACGGGAGGCAGCAGUAGGGAAUUUUCCACAAUGGACGAAAGUCUGAUGGAGCGACACAGCGUGCAGGAUGACGGCCUUCGGGUUGUAAACUGCUGUUAUAAGGGAAGAAAAAAUAAAGUAGGAAAUGACUUUAUCUUGACGGUACCUUGUCAGAAAGCAACGGCUAACUAUGUGCCAGCAGCCGCGGUAAUACAUAGGUUGCAAGCGUUAUCCGGAAUUAUUGGGCGUAAAGCGUCUGUAGGUUGUUUGUUAAGUCUGACGUGAAAACUUGGGGCUCAACCCCAAAUUGCGUUGGAUACUGGCAAACUAGAGUUAUGAAGAGGUUAGCGGAAUUCCUUGUGAAGCGGUGAAAUGCGUAGAUAUAAGGAAGAACACCAACUUGGCGAAGGCAGCUAACUGGGCAUACACUGACACUGAGAGACGAAAGCGUGGGGAGCAAACAGGAUUAGAUACCCUGGUAGUCCACGCUGUAAACGAUGAUGAUUAGCUGAUGGGGAACUCAUCGGCACAGCUAACGCAUUAAAUCAUCCGCCUGAGUAGUAUGCUCGCAAGAGUGAAACUUAAAGGAAUUGACGGGGAUCCGCACAAGCGGUGGAGCAUGUGGUUUAAUUUGAAGAUACCCGUAAAACCUUACCCACUCUUGA